UGCCUACAGGAGGCAGCAGUUAGGAAUAUUCGUCAAUGGGGGAAACCCUGAACGAGCAAUGCCGCGUGAAGGAAGAAGGUCCUAUGGAUUGUAAACUUCUGUUGUAAGGGAAGAAAGAGUAGAGUAGGAAAUGACUCUAAAGUGACAGUACCUUUCAAGAAAGCUCCGGCUAACUACGUGCCAGCAGCCGCGGUAAUACGUAGGGAGCGAGCGUUAUCCGGAUUUAUUGGGUGUAAAGGGUGCGUAGGCGGUAAUACAGGUCUGUGGUAUAAGCCCGAAGCUUAACUUCGGUUCGCCACAGAAAC
rnacentral:rRNA from 1 species